CACGUGACGUGUGGUCAUUGGCUGCGCACCUCAGAGGGUAAGACAGGUGUCACAGAGGUCAGGUCACGUCAAGUGACAGACAGGUUAUGUUUUGAUAUGUCUUGCGAGAUGAAACGACCGUCAAAGCCCUCGGGUGCACAGUACCGAAAGAGAAGAAAAGAGGAGGAGGAGAAGUCCCACUAUAAAGGUAACAUUAUGUCAUCUUCUUUUAAAUGCCGUUUUAUGUGAAGACGUUUCAUUUGUAUUAGCUUUCUAACCAGGUUGAAAUAAAGCAACGCCAGCUUAACACUAGAACGGCCAAGACUGUCAUUUUGACUGUCUUUAAAUUUAUAUGUGCAAUAACUUUGUUGAAUGAAAAAAUGCAAUACUGCUGUUACCUGACUUUUCCUAAAAGUGUGUGUAUUUUUAUUUAGAAUAGUUUUUAUAUAAAUUCCAUGUUUUCAUGCUAGUAACAUUUCUACAAUAUAACCAUUUAAGAUAAAAUUACCAUAUGUAAUUAGUGUUUUAUUUAUUUUUUCCUACCUGAUGUAAAAUGGCUGCCAUGAUGUACUGUACUGUGUGUUUAUAAUUUUUGAAAUAAGACUCAACUAAGAAGGUAAUUUGUGGCAGUCCACACAAUUCUGCCUCAAAUUGUAUUUAUAGUAAAAGAUUAACAUUUGACCAAUUUACAUUUUAAGUCACACAUAAAGAUAUACUCCAUUAUGAGCACUGAAGUGAAUAACACUGAUUAUCUGGUUAUCAUGACACCUGUCAGUGGGUGGGAUAUAUCAGGCAGUGAGUGAACAUUUUGUCCUUAAAGUUGAUGUGUUAGAAGCAGGAAAAAUGGGCAGCGUGAGGAUCUGAGCGACUUUGACAAGGGCCACAUUGUGAUGGAUCGACGACUGGGUCAGAGCAUCUCCAAAACUGCAGCUCUUGAGGGGUGUUCCUGGACUGCAGAGCAGCAGUCAACAUUGGCAUCAGUAACACCUGCCGUGUUAAUGCUCACAUCGCCUUCCAGAUGUUGAACACCAGGACCUGCAAGGGGGAGGACGAAUAUAUUAACUGGGUGCCUGGAGGCUCUGGGAGCGAAUGUCUUCAGGAAUACCUGAAAGAGAGCCUGCUGGGGCAUCGGUCUAGUGUACUGCUGAGGAAUCGGCCCGGCAGUGCUCGUUCCUGACUUUUCCAAUGUAAAGAUCUGGCAGCUGCAGAGAUUUGGAGUCCUUCAAUCUGGAGAAGGUGGACUACCCUGUCCUUUUAUUGAGGGAGCUGAUGGUGAAUCCAGCAUCGCAGAACAGACACGCUACUCGCUAGUGAGCAUCAUCAGCCAUUUGGCCUCCACUGCUCAAUCUGGCCAAUACAUCUGUGAUGGUGCUCACCGACCGCAGGAACCAGGUGAUGUGACAGAUUGUUGGCUCACGUACAACGGCAGUGACUUCAGUGAGACAACCAGCAAACCUGUGUAUCACCAGCAGCAGCGAUCAUCAUACCUGCUGUCCUAUGAGAGACAAGAAUUGAGGAGUCUCGUGGUCAAGAAACGCGCCUUAAGAAAAUUAAGCGGCACAGAAAAGCAGCUCCUGCAGCCGCUACAACGCCAGAUGUUUUUGCUGCAAUUCGGAAAAUAAAUCAGUAAAAGAGUCUCGAGGUCAGGAUGGACAACCUGAACAGCAAGCAGGCGAACCAGUAAUUCAUCUGCAGCUACUGAGAAACAAGAAAGAGCUAUUUGCCUAGCUCCAUUCAACUUCGAACAACUUUGAAGAAUUGUUGAUUCCAGCUGGUCGAGGCAGACCAGACCUAGAGUCGGGGUCUGCUCGAGGUUUCUGCCUCUUAAAAUGACGUCCUUCCUCGCCACUGUCGCCAAGUGGUUGCUCAUUGUGGGAAUUGUAUUGUUAUCUGUAAAUAAUUUCAUAAGGAGAAGUGUACAUCUGAUCAAUACGAAAAGUGGACUGAGAUAACUUCUGUUUGGAUUUGGUGUUAUGAAAAAAAAAUUGAACUGAUUUGAAAUUGAAUUGUUCUCAUCAUCAUUGUUAUGUUGUCAAUUAAGAAAAAGUUUAAGUUGAAAAAAUACCAUUUCAGUAGGAAAAUGUCCCCAAAAAAAACAAUUAAAAAAAGUUGAUAUAUAUAGAGAUAGAGAGAUAGAGAGAUUAGACCAUAGAAAGCCAUGGAUAGUAAAGAUAACUUCCAAUUAAUUUAAUUUGAAUGUUUUCUAACUGCAGUUUGAGUUGUUUUUGUGCUGCUGAUUAUAUUCAUUCAGUCCUGCAUGUCUGUUUUUCUUCCUGUGGCAUCAAUUUUAUGCAAUGCUGCCCUCUACUGGACACAUCACUGCUUAAAUCUGAAUCUGAUGAUCUCCAUUCCUCAUGCUGCACAGUAUGUACAUUUUUGUAUGUGCAUAGUUUAUUGUGGAUAUGUGUCACCAUGUUCACUAAAGGAUUUUAAAUUCCUCUGACCUGUAUGUAUGUAAUCUUCAAAUGCAUUUAAACAUGGGUUGGGUUUUUCUACAUGACAGCUAAUA